CCUACGGGAGGCAGCAGUCGAGAAUCAUUCACAAUGGGGGAAACCCUGAUGGUGCGACGCCGCGUGGGGGAAUGAAGGUCUUCGGAUUGUAAACCCCUGUCAUGUGGGAGCAAAUUAAAAAGAUAGUACCACAAGAGGAAGAGACGGCUAACUCUGUGCCAGCAGCCGCGGUAAUACAGAGGUCUCAAGCGUUGUUCGGAAUCACUGGGCGUAAAGCGUGCGUAGGCGGUUUAGUAAGUCGUGUGUGAAAGGUGCGGGCUCAACCCGCGAACGGCACAUGAUACUGGGAGACUAGAGUAAUGUAGGGGGAACCGGAAUUCGCGGUGUAGCAGUGAAAUGCGUAGAUAUCGAGAGGAACACUCGUGGCGAAGGCGGGUUCCUGGACAUUAACUGACGCUGAGGCACGAAGGCCAGGGGAGCGAAAGGGAUUAGAUACCCCAGUAGUC
rnacentral:rRNA from 1 species